CAAUUUCUGUUCAAUUUUUAACCACCGAACGAGAACCGAAAGGCAGAGUCCAGCUAAGGAGCUGCUGUUGACAGUUGCGAGAACAAGAGAAUUGGGAGAAUGAAUGAAUGAGAACACGAGCAGCUCGCUUUUAUAGGCGGCCGACGUAUGGAACGACAUGGAAUGGAAUCGAGAGCGGUGUGUGUGUGAGAGAGUGAGAGUGAGAGAACAUGAGCACGGCAGCGCUCGCCUUUACAGGCGGAAUGGAGUGGAAGAGAGAAAUGAAAUGAAAUGAAAUGGGAAUGGAGAGUUUUUAGUGUUUUCUUGUUGCCGGCGGGCGCCUUUUUCUUCAGUUCCUCUGAUUACCAGGAAAUUCUGAGGGAGAUGGAGAACUAGAACGGCAAAACAUAGAGAAACCAUGUGCAUAAAGGAAACACUAUAUGUACAACGUCGAAGAAAAUUGGAAAAUCGGUUUUAAAUAAGGAAUCUGGCCCCGUGGAGUUCACCGCAACAGGUAGAAUAUGCUUCCCCUACAUUUCCCCUACAGGCGAAACGAAUAUCCCGAGAAGAAGACCAGACAGAAUCGAAUCAUUGAGUCGCCAGCUCCAUGUAGCCCACUGAUUUUGGCGCGCGAGCUUAUAUACCCCAACGCGAGCCUCCCCACCAGAGCCGAAGUGGAGCCGAGCGCCAAAAGUGAAGCCGAAGCAGCGGCACAAACAUACAAAUAUAUUUAUGUAUGUGAUUUACAAUGCACCGCAAUAGUUGGAGCCAGCAAGCACACAGGCAGACGGAGAAACAAGAAGGCGCGAGGCAAAAGGAAACGGGAUGGAAUGAGACCGCGAGCGAAUCUUUAAGCAGAAAUUCAAGGCGGCAUCGAUUGUGUCGUUUGCAGAUACCACAGUGCUAUUUAUCGCAGUCUCCAGAAUUUCCGAGAGGACGGAAAAAAAUGGCAAAGGCAAAGGAGAGUGAAAAACGUAUGCAAAAAGCCUUACACACACACAUCACACACACUGUCCGCGAGUGUGUAUUGUGGAAAAAGCACAUGUGUGUAGCUCUGAUUGCGGAGGGCAAAAAAAAAAAAACUGAGAAU